rnacentral:rRNA from 1 species
UUGAACGCUGGCGGCAUGCCUUACCCAUGCCAGUCGCACGGCAGCACGGGUGCUUGCACCUGGUGGCGAGUGGCGAACGGGUGAGUAAUACAUCGGAACAUGUCCUGUAGUGGGGGAUAGCCCGGCGAAAGCCGGAUUAAUACCGCAUACGAUCCACGGAUGAAAGCGGGGGACCUUCGGGCCUCGCGCUAUAGGGUUGGCCGAUGGCUGAUUAGCUAGUUGGUGGGGUAAAGGCCUACCAAGGCGACGAUCAGUAGCUGGUCUGAGAGGACGACCAGCCACACUGGGACUGAGACACGGCCCAGACUCCUACGGGAGGCAGCAGUGGGGAAUUUUGGACAAUGGGCGAAAGCCUGAUCCAGCAAUGCCGCGUGUGUGAAGAAGGCCUUCGGGUUGUAAAGCACUUUUGUCCGGAAAGAAAUCCUUGACUCUAAUACAGUCGGGGGAUGACGGUACCGGAAGAAUAAGCACCGGCUAACUACGUG